GAUGAACGCUGGCGGCGUGCCUAAUACAUGCAAGUCGAGCGAACAGACGAGGAGCUUGCUCCUCUGACGUUAGCGGCGGACGGGUGAGUAACACGUGGAUAACCUACCUAUAAGACUGGGAUAACUUCGGGAAACCGGAGCUAAUACCGGAUAAUAUAUUGUACCGCAUGGUUCAAUAGUGAAAGACGGUUUUGCUGUCACAUAUAGAUGGAUCCGCGCCGCAUUAGCUAGUUGGUAAGGUAACGGCUUACCAAGGCAACGAUGCGUAGCCGACCUGAGAGGGUGAUCGGCCACACUGGAACUGAGACACGGUCCAGACUCCUACGGGAGGCAGCAGUAGGGAAUCUUCCGCAAAGGGCGAAAGCCUGACGGAGCAACGCCGCGUGAGUGAUGAAGGUCUUCGGAUCGUAAAACUCUGUUAUUAGGGAAGAACAAAUGUGUAAGUAACUAUGCACGUCUUGACGGUACCUAAUCAGAAAGCCACGGCUAACUACGUG
rnacentral:rRNA from 1 species